rnacentral:rRNA from 1 species
AGAGUUUGAUCCUGGCUCAGAGCGAACGCUGGCGGCAGGCUUAACACAUGCAAGUCGAGCGGGCACUUUCGGGUGUCAGCGGCGGACGGGUGAGUAACGCGUGGGAACGUGCCCUCUGGUUCGGAAUAACUCAGGGAGACUUGAGCUAAUACCGGAUACGCCCUUUUGGGGAAAGGCUUGCUGCCGGAGGAUCGGCCCGCGUCUGAUUAGCUAGUUGGUGAGGUAACGGCUCACCAAGGCGACGAUCAGUAGCUGGUCUGAGAGGAUGAUCAGCCACACUGGGACUGAGACACGGCCCAGACUCCUACGGGAGGCAGCAGUGGGGAAUAUUGGACAAUGGGCGCAAGCCUGAUCCAGCCAUGCCGCGUGAGUGAUGAAGGCCUUAGGGUUGUAAAGCUCUUUUAUCCGGGACGAUAAUGACGGUACCGGAGGAAUAAGCCCCGGCUAACUUCGUGCCAGCAGCCGCGGUAAUACGAAGGGGGCUAGCGUUGCUCGGAAUCACUGGGCGUAAAGGGCGCGUAGGCGGCGUUUUAAGUCGGGGGUGAAAGCCUGUGGCUCAACCACAGAAUGGCCUUCGAUACUGGGACGCUUGAGUAUGGUAGAGGUUGGUGGAACUGCGAGUGUAGAGGUGAAAUUCGUAGAUAUUCGCAAGAACACCGGUGGCGAAGGCGGCCAACUGGACCAUUACUGACGCUGAGGCGCGAAAGCGUGGGGAGCAAACAGGAUUAGAUACCCUAGUAGUCC